GGAGAAAGGGGAAGGAAGAGAAAAUGAAUUUAUAGGAAAAGAGAACAAGGUGAAGAAGAAGGAAAAAUAACAAGAGAUUUCAACACUGGUUUAAAGACAACUCAAAUCAGUAUGACAGACUUUAGAGCUCUGCUUGUGCCUUAUUUCAUGCCAAGUAUGACAGAUUUGAGUGCUCUGUCUGUGUGAGAUUUUAGUAUACCGGGUAUGACAGUUGUUUUACUCUUGCUCUGCCAACGUGGGGACAUCCUUUGGGACAUUCUCCAGAUCGUGUUGGAUAGUGUUUCGUUGGGUUGUGCCAUGGUGUAACAUCCUUAGUAAGUGUCCUCAUUGCACACAUCCACACACACACACACACACACACACAUAUAUAUAUAUAUAUAUAUAUAUAUUGUUUUUUUUUUUUGAGAAACUUAUGAAAUGUUGAAGGGCCAGAGGCCUAAUUAAACUCUUCUCAUUAUUUUUUGAAAUGAAUGAAUAUGCAAAUUUUUGUUAUGUAUAUGAUACGGUCGGAGGCCUGAUUACAGGUUUAUUUUAUGAUUUUUUGGCUUUAAUUAAGAUGUAUUUUGACAUGUAAUAAUAUAAA